rnacentral:rRNA from 1 species
UAGGGAAUCUUCCGCAAUGGGCGAAAGCUUGACGGAGCAACGCCGCGUGAGUGAUGAAGGUCUUCGGAUCGUAAAACUCUGUUAUUAGGGAAGAACAAAUGUGUAAGUAACUAUGCACGUCUUGACGGUACCUAAUCAGAAAGCCACGGCUAACUACGUGCCAGCAGCCGCGGUAAUACGUAGGUGGCAAGCGUUAUCCGGAAUUAUUGGGCGUAAAGCGCGCGUAGGCGGUUUUUUAAGUCUGAUGUGAAAGCCCACGGCUCAACCGUGGAGUGUCAUUGGAAACUGGAAAACUUGAGUGCAGAAGAGGAAAGUGGAAUUCCAAGUGUAGCGGUGAAAUGCGCAGAGAUAUGGAGGAACACCAGUGGCGAAGGCGACUUUCUGGUCUGUAACUGACGCUGAUGUGCGAAAGCGUGGGGAUCAAACAGG